CUCUUCUCUUUCUUCACCCCCCCACCAAAUCUUCAUUAUAAAUAAACCCUAAUUUCUCUUCUUCCUCUCCUCAUCAUGGCACUGUUCAAUAACUUCCUCUUUAACCCCUUUCUCUCUUCCCAUUUCCUCCUUCUCCCUCCUCCAAUGGCUCACCCCUUUCCCCUUCUCACAAACCCUACACCUCUACCCUUCUUUUGAUUCUUCUCCUGGCGAUUUACAAAGGGGAGAAGAAAGAGUUGAAGGGUUGCAAAAAUGCACCACCGAUCACUUCGUUCACCGUCUCUUCCAAAUCCCCAAUCGCCACCACCACCGUUUUAUUCACCUUCUCUUCCAAAUUCCUAGUCACCAUUGCUUCGUUCAGUUUGACAACUUCCAAACCAACGACGCCUCCAUUUUCAUUCAUUCCCUCAUCCUCUUUGCCCUAAUUUCCCACUUCACCUUCGCCAUUCAACUUCACAUCUACAUCUGAUCAUCGCAAAGUUGAACCUAAAUUCUUCGUCUAUUUCCAAUUUUCAGGUACAUUCACUAUGUUUAUUCUUUCGAUUUCGCUUUCUGAUUCUUUACAUUCUGUUUCAUUAGCUAAUAUUUUUUAUUUCAUUUUUGCGAGGUUUUACUAAUUUCCUUCUUGACGAAUAGGGUUGUUACGUUGCAGAUUUCAAGAUCUUGUUGAUUCUUUGGGUGAAAUUUUGUUGAUUCAUACGCAAUAAACUUAGUAUUUUAAUUUUUCUGGUUAUGAAUGUGCUACACUAUAAUUGCUUGCUUGCUUAAUCAUGGUUCAUACAUCUUCUGACGAUUUUGUGCGUCAGGAGAUCCUCAUUUUCUUGUAGUGAUAGUAUUGAAAUUUAUGUCUUAAAACUGGUAGAUAAAACAUAUAAUUCAUUAACCGUUAUUAAUUAAUAAAGUGUUAUUAUUGUAACUUCAAUAAA